CUUUAACUCUGGCGGCAUGCUUUACACAUGCAAGUCGAACGGUAACAGGCCGCAAGGUGCUGACGAGUGGCGAACGGGUGAGUAAUGCAUCGGAACGUGCCCAGUCGUGGGGGAUAACUACUCGAAAGAGUAGCUAAUACCGCAUACGAUCUAUGGAUGAAAGCGGGGGACCGUAAGGCCUCGCGCGAUUGGAGCGGCCGAUGUCAGAUUAGGUAGUUGGUGGGGUAAAGGCUCACCAAGCCAACGAUCUGUAGCUGGUCUGAGAGGACGACCAGCCACACUGGGACUGAGACACGGCCCAGACUCCUACGGGAGGCAGCAGUGGGGAAUUUUGGACAAUGGGCGCAAGCCUGAUCCAGCAAUGCCGCGUGCAGGAAGAAGGCCUUCGGGUUGUAAACUGCUUUUGUACGGAACGAAACGGCUCUGGUUAAUACCCGGGGCUAAUGACGGUACCGUAAGAAUAAGCACCGGCUAACUACGUG
rnacentral:rRNA from 1 species